AAGUCGUAACAAGGUUUCCGUAGGUGAACCUGCGGAAGGAUCAUUAAAAAUUGCAAGCCGGCGAGAGCCGCGCACCGCAAACCAUGUGAAAACACCCGUUGCUUCGGCGGCACGCCCAGCGGCCGUCAGCCCGCCAGAAGCCCAACGAAACCAUUUCAGUAAACUUCAGGUCAGGCACGAUAAAGCAAAUCGUUAAAA
rnacentral:misc_RNA from 1 species